UACGUGAGGUGCAAGCGUUAAUCGGAAUUAGCUGGGCGUAAAGCGUGCGCAGGCGGUUGUGACAAGACAGAUGUGAAAUCCCCGGGCUCCAACCUGGGAAUGGCAUUGGUGACUGCACGGCUAGAGUGUGUCAGAGGGGGGUAGAAGUUCCAACGUGUAGCAGUGAAAUGCGUAGAGAUGAUGGAGGAAUCCGAGUGGCGAAAGGCGCCCCCUGGGAUAACACUGAACGCUCAUGGCAACGAAAAGCGUUGGGGGAAGCAAAACAGGA
rnacentral:rRNA from 1 species